AGAGUUACAGCCGUGUAUUUCAUUAGCAUAAUUAUCACAUCUUCAUGUGUGCGUGUACAUCGCCAGCCAAAAAGCCUGUCCGACUCUUCACGGAUCCAUCUCUGUGCAAAUACAGCAUGCAUGCACAUGCAUUACAUGCGGUAGUGAUUUCUCAUCUGUAUUUAUUAAUUAUGCAUUUACCCAACAAACCUGUUCCAUUCACAGACGCAUUUUAAUGUGAAUGACAGCUGUACAUGGUGAGCGUAUCUCACACGCACAGACAAAAGAAAAGAAAAGGAGAAGCAUGGCAGAUUGAUGGACAAUUAUAGUGCAGAGUUAGCAGAGAGAGUGAUUUCAAAGUCUCUCAAACAUAUGAGCUGAGUUGUUGUGCUGUAGCCGCAGGCUCCUGCGCUCAUACGGCUUCAGUCUACUGUAUAUAACAGCAUGCUGGGCUACUGACUGCGCAGCCACAGAUGCCGUAUGCAUCAAAUAGCUAUUGAUUUUCACAUGUAGCACUUGUUCUGUGCAGAGGAAGGACUCUGAACACCAGUGAUCUGAUUAUUAGCAGAUUCUCUUCAUUUGCACACAUCGAACGAGAGACGCUCGGCGAAGAGAGCGAUGAUUCUGAGCAUCUCUCGGUAAAGAGGUCAGGUCUCCAGUGAGGUUAAAGUAGCAGUGCGACAUUCACAACAUUUUUAACUAUUUUGAUGCUCUGGCUUUCUGAGGCAGAGAAGAAAAUGGAAAACAUUCACGAUUAAUUCUGACAGAGUUCACAGAGAGAGAGAGAGAGAGAGAGAGAGAGAGAGAGAGAGAGACUGUUAAAAUAGGAAACUCUGCCUACAGAAACACAGCUUAUUGUUUCUGUGGAAUUAAUAAUUGACGGUUGUUAAAUGAAUAAUUUAUCAUGAACCGGAAUAAUUGUUGUAUCUCUAAUCUCGACACACAUUUGCAUAUGAAUCUUGUAAAAAUCUGCUGCUAUGUGCUGUAUAAACUUCACAGGGGUGUGAAAUUUAAUUUAUCCUAUGAAAUAAAACGUGACUUUCUCCUGCAGGAUUCGGCCCUCUUGUGGAAGUGCGCCGGAUCAGAGACGCGGUCGUCGCUGUCUGACAGCAGAAGCAGACAGGAGUUUUAGUGCCGUUGACAGGCCUGUGGGGAAGAAGGACGUUUGUCACCAGCGCUCCAGAAAGCCCAGCGCUUCUUCAGCUCCACGAGGGGAUCUGAGCGCUCAGCUUUCUGUGGAGUUUGUGUUUGGCCGUCGAGGACACCAGCUGUAGGUCACAGAUAAACUCAGAACCUUCAAACUCCAGCAAAGAAAUGAACUUCACUCCCAAAACACACCACAGACCGCUGAGGACAUGACCGGGAGCACACUCAUCAGACUCAAACUUUGACUUUCUAUAACACACACACACACACACACACACACACACACACACAUCUGCAUGAGGACAUUUCCUUUGUUUCUGCACUGUUACAGAUGGACACACAACCAUUUAUUGAAACUAAACUGCAAAAACAUUUUAUGGAGCAUGAAGUGAUUUUACAAACUGGCACAAACUAUUUCACAGCAUUGGGUUUUUAAUUUCAUUUUAAAUUUAAAAUCCAAUUAAAUAUUAAAAACUUUUAAAUCAAAUUAAGUUGAGUUUUGAAGUUGCUUUUUUGUUUCAUUUUAUUUUUAGUAAAAGUUUUAGUAAUUUUGUUCUGUUUUUGUGUAAUUUUAGUGUUUUAAAUGUCAAUAUAGUUUUUAUUAAUUUUAUUUCAUCUUUAGUUUUAGUUAUUGUAGUAUACUUAGUUAAACUAAAUGAAAAUGCUGCUUUGACAACUUGCCGAAAUAAAAUAAGUUUAAGUUUUUUUAAUUUAAGUUUU
ensembl:lncRNA